UGGGGAAUUUUGCACAAUGGGGGAAACCCUGAUGCAGCGACGCCGCGUGAUUUAGAAGGCCUUCGGGUUGUAAAAAUCUUUUCUAUGGGAAGAAAAUGACAGUACCAUAGGAAUAAGGACCGGCUAAUUACGUGCCAGCAGCCGCGGUAAUACGUAAGGUCCGAGCGUUGUCCGGAAUCAUUGGGCGUAAAGGGUACGUAGGCGGGUAAGCAAGUUAGAAGUGAAAUCCUAUAGCUCAACUAUAGUAAGCUUUUAAAACUGCUCAUCUUGGGGUAUGGAAGGGAAAGUGGAAUUCCUAGUGUAGCGGUGAAAUGCGCAGAUAUUAGGGGGAAUACCGGUGGCGAAGGCGACUUUCUGGCCAUAACCUGACGCUGAGGUACGAAAGCGUGGGUAGCAAACAGG
rnacentral:rRNA from 1 species